rnacentral:sRNA from 1 species
AACUCAACACUGAACACAAAGGUGGUGCUUUGUUUAUGCAGUGAAACAUUUUGGAGACCUGCAAAAGGAAGGAGCAGCAUUUCUUGCUAUUACUACUAUCUAUGCUGAGACUGGUUCAGGUUUUGUAGUACCAAGUGCUUCUGCCAAAGCAGGUGUGGAAGCCAUGAGCAAGUCUCUUGCAGCUGAAUGGGGUAAAUAUGGAAUGCGAUUCAAUGUGAUUCAACCAGGGCCUAUAAAAACCAAAGGUGCCUUUAGCCGUCUGGACCCAACUGGAACAUUUGAGAAAGAAAUGAUUGACAGAAUUCCCUGUGGUCGCCUGGGGACUGUAGAAGAACUUGCAAAUCUUGCUGCUUUCCUUUGUAGUGAUUAUGCUUCUUGGAUUAAUGGAGCAGUCAUUAAAUUUGAUGGUGGAGAGGAAGUACUUAUUUCAGGGGAAUUCAACGACCUGAGAAAGGUCACCAAGG